GAGAUUUACAAACGUGUUUGCGAAUGUUGAAAACGCCAUUGUGAUUUCACGCAAAAAAGUUUUGAAGCCGUUGUGAUUGGAACAGUGUGUUUGUGCAAAUCAUAUUCGGAGCGACCGCAUUUUGGGGGGUUGUAACUGGGCACUGACGUCAUAUUUCAUAGCCUUUUGUAACCUAACUUAACCUCAUCACCCUUGUUAAUAACCGGGGUUUCAGAGCGCGGACCCCAUUACCCACUUAGGGGGACUCGCCCCCAGGCAAAAUGAGUGACAACGAUGACAGUUUCGAUGUCCUUCUGACCUCCAUUGGUUUCGGGCGAUGGCAAGCGCCCAUCAUCCUGGCAACUGUCCUCGUUGCUGCCCAGUUUCCUGUCCACCUGGUUGGGUCUCCUUUUGUGAGCGCACCUAUGGACUUCCACUGCUCUUCAACACCUCCUGCAGAGAACCAGUCGGCUGUGUUCAACGCUAGCGGUAUCAACGGCACAUAUUACGACAACAAGUGCCUGGAAGUGCCAGUCAACAUAAGUGAUGACUUAAUGGAAAGAACUUACAAUGGCACUGGGUACUUCACCGGAUUACCAACUUGUCCUUACAUUGAGUAUGACACCUCCAUAUUCAUUUCUACCAUCAAUUCAGAUUGGCACAUCGUUUGCGACCAUGAAAAUCAGCGGCCAUUUUACCAGAUGAUGUACAACAUCGGAGGAUUGAUUGGCAGUUCGCUGAGUGGUCACAUAGGUGACAGAUUCGGACGGAGGAAGUCGGUGCAGGUCGGCUGCGUAGCCCACCUGAUCGCCGUGAUGCUGACCGUGACGGUCCCCUCGUAUCCGUUUAUUCUCCUGAUGCGGAUGGUCGUCGGCGUCGCCAUGGUCGUCAUGCUUCUUCCUGCCUGGAGUUUGGCUCUGGAGGUGACCCCAUCCCGCCAUCGGAGUCUGGUGGGAAUGCUCAUGGGACUUCCAUAUUCCAUCUUCGUGGCUGCCAACGCCCUCAUCGCCUACUACAUCAGGACCUGGGAGUACCUGCUCCUGGCUGGCGCCUUCCCCGGGGUCAUACUGUUCCCCUUGCCAUGUAUAUCGACGAGUCCCCAAGAUGGUUGGUGCAGAAACUUCGAGAAGAGAAAGCGAUUCGUAUAUUGAAGAGCGCUGUCAAUUUUAACAACGCCAAACUGUCAGAACCAGUCGAUGUCACGGUCAAGAAGUUGGUAGAGGCAGCCAGAGAUUCUGCGGGAGCAUCAGGUAGCCAGUCUUUAAGAUCCCAGCUUCAGGAAUUACUCAAGUACAUUCGGUCUCCUGCCAUGAGAAUCAUCCUGAUCUUGUCUCCUACACUGUGGUUCCUGCAAUCCUUC